AAUAUAAGGCCUCCUUUGGAAAAAUGGUUAGGUCUUAGAAAGUAGUUAGUAGCUAUUGAAACCUUUGUCCCCCACAAAAACAAAUAUGGCAAUCAUAAUCGAACAUGGGUGCCACCCCAUAUAGUUGACACUUUAUCUCCUCCAAAAUCCAGCUACUCCUACUCUCAUAAUCAUAAUUAAAUAUAUAUAAGAUCUAGCUUAAACCAAAAAUCCCCCAAUCGAUGAGACCCAACUCUAAAAUUCUCCUCCGAAAAUGUGUACUUGCUUUAUUGCCAUCACCAUUUUUCUCCUCUGCCUCCUCCCGAGGACUAGCCAAGCUGCAGGCUACCUAAGCACUGCAAGCCAGUUCUUGUUACCCCAGAAUGCAGCUCGUGCCGCACUGAGGAUGCCGCCGUUGGUCUGGGAUUCAAACCUCGCACGGUAUGCACAAUGGUAUGCCAACCAGAGAAGGUAUGAUUGUGACCUGAGGCACUCUAACGGACCUUAUGGUGAGAACAUAUUUUGGGGCAGUGGCAGGGGGUGGAGUCCUGCUCAGGCAGUCACUGCCUGGGUCUCCGAGCGAAAAUGGUAUAAUUAUUGGUCUAAUUCUUGCGCUGGGGAUCAAGAAUGUGGACAUUAUACUCAGAUUGUUUGGAGGAAGACAAGAAGAGUUGGGUGUGCUAGAGUUAAUUGUUUUGGUGGUAAGGGAGUUUUCAUGACCUGCAAUUAUGACCCUCCUGGGAACUUCAUUGGAGAAAGGCCUUACUGAAUGUCUUUAAUAAUGGAAUUUUGCAAAAGCGAAUUUCAAUAUUGUUGUAUUCUUAGUGGGAUUUUAUUGUUUGGUGAAUGGUUUUAUUUUAUAUGAGUGCAUAUUUUCUUCAAAUUUUUUUAUUUUUUGUGUAAGAAUUUUUUUCGAAAUACCAGAAAAAG
rnacentral:misc_RNA from 1 species